rnacentral:rRNA from 1 species
UACAGGGGGUGCAAACGUUGCUCGGAAUCAUUGGGCGUAAAGCGCACGUAGGCGGUUCGUUAUGUCGGAUGUGAAAGCCCUUGGCUUAACCGAGGAAGUGCACCCGAAACUGGCGAGCUUGAGUACGAAAGAGGAUCGCGGAAUUCCCGGUGUAGAGGUGAAAUUCGUAGAUAUCGGGAGGAACACCGGUGGCGAAGGCGGCGAUCUGGGUCGAUACUGACGCUGAGGUGCGAAAGCGUGGGGAGCAAACAGG